rnacentral:lncRNA from 1 species
AGACAGAGUCUCGCUCUUGUACUAUCUUGGCUCACUGCAACCUCCACCUCCCGGAUUCAAGCGAUUCUUGUGCUUCAGCCUCUCAAGUAGCUGGAAUUACAGAUGUGCACCACCACGCCUGGCUAAUUUUUUUGUAUUUUUAGUAGAGACGGGGUUUUGCCAUUUUGGCCAGGCUAGUCUCAAAACUCCUGACCUUGGGUGAUCUGUCUGCCUUGGCUUCCUAAAGUGCUGAGAUUACAGGCGUGAGCCACUGCACCAUGCUGUUUCUUCUGCUAAUAAGACUUAUUUUAUUUUAUUUUUUUAAAUGGAGUCUCACUCUGUCGCCAGGCUGGAGUGCAGUGCUGCGAUCUCAGCUCACUGCAACCUCUGCCUCCUGGGUUCAAGCAAUUCUCCUGUCUCAGCCUCCCAAGUAGCUGGGACUACAGGCGUGCACCACCAUGCUGAGCUAAUUUUUAUAUUUUUAGUAGAGACAGGGUUUCACCAUGUUGGCUAGGAUGGUCUCGAUCUGUUGACCUGGUGAUCUGCUCGCCUCGGCCUCCCAAAGUGCUGGGAUUACAGGUAUGAGUCACUGUGCUCGGCCGAGUAUCCUCUUUUUUUUUUUUUUGAGACAGGGUCUUGCUCAGUCACCCAGGGAGGAGUGCAGUGGCUGGACCACAUCUCAUGUACCUGAACUUCCUGGGCUCAUGCGAUCCUCCCACCUCAGUCUCCCAAGUAGUUGGGACUAUGGGCGCAUGCCACCACGCCUAGCUAAUUUUUUUUUUUAAGUAGAUACUGGGUCUCACUAUGUUACCUAGGUUGGUCUUGAACUCCU